rnacentral:rRNA from 1 species
AUUGAACGCUGGCGGCAUGCUUUACACAUGCAAGUCGAACGGCAGCACGGGGGCAACCCUGGUGGCGAGUGGCGAACGGGUGAGUAAUGCAUCGGAACGUAUCCUUAAGUGGGGGAUAACGCAUCGAAAGAUGCGCUAAUACCGCAUAAUCUCUAAGGAGAAAAGCAGGGGAUCGCAAGACCUUGCGCUUUUGGAGCGGCCGAUGUCUGAUUAGCAGUUGGUGAGGUAAAGGCUUACCAAGGCUUCGAUCAGUAGCUGGUCUGAGAGGACGACCAGCCACACUGGGACUGAGACACGGCCCAGACUCCUACGGGAGGCAGCAGUGGGGAAUUUUGGACAAUGGGGGAAACCCUGAUCCAGCCAUGCCGCGUGAGUGAAGAAGGCCU